UCUUUUUUCACUUACAAAGAGACAGAGAAACAACUGAACAUGGAAAAAGUGAAGUCUUGAGAGUUACACCAGGAUUGAACAGUGGAUGAAUACUAGAAGACAUUGCAACUGCUGCAAUAUACAUAAGUUUUAUGAUACAGUUUUCUGUUACACUGUGAAUGA